rnacentral:snRNA from 1 species
GCGCUAUGGGUGACCUAUUGAGGAAUUUGGAGCAGCACAUAUACUAAAAUUGGAACGAUACAGAGAAGAUUAGCAUGGCCCCUGCGCAUAGAGAGUCUCAAACCAUCUAAAUGCUGUUUGCUCAG